AAGUUGGGAGUCUAAUGAUAGCAUUGCUGUAAUUUCUUAAAUGCUAAAAUAGUGAGUUACAAAUAUGGCUGGGGCUACUAUACUCUUAUGAGUAUAGACCCCUUUCUACUCAUAAAUUUUUAACCAUUGAUUGAUAGAAUGUGUGGUUAGGAUAAUUGUGGUCCCCACUUAGAAUGAUAGUGAUCUCCUAGGGUUGAAUGGGUAGUUAGUUGAAUAGUAUAAUAUAAUGGGUGAAAAUGAUCAAUGAAAUAAAUCUAAGGGCCGAAAACUUAUGAGUAUAAAGGAACCAAUACUCAUAAAAAUAUAGUAGCUGGACUCUUACAAGUAUAUAUGUUGUAUUAUCAUGGUUAAUUUAUACAUUAGGAUAAGUUGUGUACUAAAUGUGAUAUGAUGGUUUAGGAGGCGUCUAUCGGUAAAAGCUAGAGCAAAGUAAUUAAAAGUUUGUAGUGAAGUGUUUGUUAGCUUAAUUUAAUGACGAGUAUUACAGAUUCACAAUAGAUAUCCGAAGGAUAUCCUCUGUUGGUUGACAAAUAAGAAAAAUAGUUUGGUAAUAAGCGCCGGCUGAUAAGCGCAACUGCAUAAAGAUAUAGUGUUGUAUCUCACAUAAAGAAAUUUAAAUAUGGUAAAAUUCUAUUUUCAUACUAGCCAAUUAAUUCUAUUCAAUAAAUCCUUC
rnacentral:lncRNA from 1 species